CCUACGGGAGGCUGCAGUGAGGAAUAUUGGUCAAUGGUCGGGAGACUGAACCAGCCAAGCCGCGUGAGGGAGGAAGGUACAGAGUAUCGUAAACCUCUUUUGUCAGGGAACAAAGGCGGGGACGUGUCCCCGGAUGAGUGUACCUGAAGAAAAAGCAUCGGCUAACUCCGUGCCAGCAGCCGCGGUAAUACGGAGGAUGCGAGCGUUAUCCGGAUUUAUUGGGUUUAAAGGGUGCGCAGGCGGUCUGUUAAGUCAGCGGUCAAAGCCCGGGUCUCAACCCCGGCCCGCCGUUGAAACUGGCAGUCGCGAGUUGGAGAGAAGGAUGCGGAAUGCGCGGUGUAGCGGUGAAAUGCAUAGAUAUCGCGCAGAACUCCGAUUGCGAAGGCAGCAUGCCGGCUCCACACUGACGCUGAGGCACGAAAGCGUGGGUAUCGAACAGGAUUAGAUACCCCUGGUAGU
rnacentral:rRNA from 1 species